rnacentral:rRNA from 1 species
UACGAAGGGGGCUAGCGUUGUUCGGAAUCACUGGGCGUAAAGGGCGCGUAGGCGGCGUGUCAAGUCAGGCGUGAAAGCCCCGGGCUCAACCUGGGAACCGCGCUUGAGACUGGCAUGCUCGAGUUCGGGAGAGGAUGGUGGAAUUCCCAGUGUAGAGGUGAAAUUCGUAGAUAUUGGGAAGAACACCGAUGGCGAAGGCAGCCAUCUGGACCGACACUGACGCUGAGGCGCGAAAGCGUGGGGAGCAAACAGG